GUUUAUAUAUUAAGCCAUGUGGUAAGGGUGUAAAAAAAGUCCAGUGCAUUAGGUAAUUUUCAAAGUAAUUUGUAUGUUGAAAAGUGCUGCAGAACUGCAAAUAUUUCUGCAACCUUUGAGAUGACAUUGUUAAAAAGGGUUUUUUUAAAAACAACAACAACUGUGGCAUCGUGAACACAAGUGAGUGAAAGUGAGGCAAAUAUAGAGAGGAUUUCUGCCUCUGCAGACCAAGGUUCAGUCACUAUUUCUCAGCCUAGCCUACUUCACAGCAUUGUGGUGAGAGGAAAUUGAGGAAAGGGAGAACCAUGUAUGGUGCCCUGAGCACAAAUGAGGCUGCAUUUUGUUACCGGAAAAAUCCAAGGGCUCCCUUGGACAAAAACAAAGACACCAACCAGGAUAACUUGGAGCAAAACAGCAGCCUGUAGGCUUGGCCUUUAUUGAACUGUUGCAACAGGGUGUUCCCAUCACUUGUGAGAGAGAGGAAAGACCCAGAAAAUGGUGUGCAAGACCUUAUAAAAACUUUUGAAAUUCCCACCCUGUAGAUCAAGCCCAC